rnacentral:rRNA from 1 species
AGCGAACGCUGGCGGCAGGCCUAACACAUGCAAGUCGAACGAACUCUUCGGAGUUAGUGGCGGACGGGUGAGUAACACGUGGGAACGUGCCUUUUGGUUCGGAAUAACUCAGGGAAACUUGUGCUAAUACCGAAUGUGCCCUUCGGGGGAAAGAUUUAUCGCCAUUAGAGCGGCCCGCGUCUGAUUAGCUAGUUGGUGAGGUAACGGCUCACCAAGGCGACGAUCAGUAGCUGGUCUGAGAGGAUGACCAGCCACACUGGGACUGAGACACGGCCCAGACUCCUACGGGAGGGAGGAAUGGGGAAUCCUGCGCAAUGGGGGGAAGCCUGACGCAGCCCUGCCGGGUGAAUGAUGAAGGUCUUAGGAUUGUAAAAUUCUUUCACCGGGGACGAUAAUGACGGUACCCGGAGAAGAAGCCCCGGCUAACUUCGUG